rnacentral:rRNA from 1 species
UGGGGAAUCUUGCGCAAUGGGCGAAAGCCUGACGCAGCGACGCCGCGUGUGGGAUGAAGGUCUUCGGAUUGUAAACCACUGUCGGGAGGGACGAAGCUCUGACGGUACCUCCAAAGGAAGCACCGGCUAACUCUGUGCCAGCAGCCGCGGUAAUACGUAGGGACCAAGCGUUGUUCGGAUUUACUGGGCGUAAAGGGCGCGUAGGCGGUGUGUCAAGUCAGUUGUGAAAUCUCCGAGCUUAACUCGGAACGGUCAACUGAUACUGUCACACUAGAGUACAGAAGGGGCAAUCGGAAUUCUUGGUGUAGCGGUGAAAUGCGUAGAUAUCAAGAGGAACACCUGAGGCGAAGGCGGGUUGCUGGGCUGAUACUGACGCUGAGGCGCGAAAGCUAGGGUAGCAAACGGGAUUAGAUACCCUGGUAGUCCCUGAGCGGGCUGGCAAGGCGCAU